rnacentral:rRNA from 1 species
AGUUUGUAUACCGCUGUUGUCAGUCAGUUUCUUUAGAAAACUUUCUUUUAUGAUAAAAUCAUAGACUUCAAGUAAAGGUGCAGCUUAUAUAAAAGACAGAGGUGGGUUACAUUUAUAAGAUUAAUACGAAUAAAGUUUAUGAAAUAACUUUUGAAGGUGGAUUUAAUUGUAAAGUUUAAUAAAACUUGAUGUGAGCUCUAUCUUGUGUACAC